AGUGUUCAAUUAUGAACUGUGGUAGGUGAGUAAUGUUCCCUACUAGAAAGGAGAGGGCAAGGCUGGUGCCAGCCGCCGCGGUAAAACCAGCUCUUCAAGUGGUCGGGAUAAUUAUUGGGCUUAAAGUGUCCGUAGCCGGUUUAGUAAGUUCCUGGUAAAAUCGGGUAGCUUAACUAUCUGUAUGCUAGGAAUACUGCUUUACUAGAGGACGGGAGAGGUCUGAGGUACUACAGGGGUAGGGGUGAAAUCUUAUAAUCCUUGUAGGACCACCAGUGGCGAAGGCGUCAGACUGGAACGUGCCUGACGGUGAGGGACGAAAGCCAGGGGAGCGAACCGGAUUAGAUACCCGGGUAGUCCUGGCCGUAAACGAUGCAUACUAGGUGAUGGCAUGGCCAUGAGCCAUGUCAGUGCCGUAGGGAAACCGUUAAGUGU
rnacentral:rRNA from 1 species